UACAGAGGGUGCAAGCGUUGUUCGGAAUUAUUGGGCGUAAAGGGCGCGUAGGCGGUGCGGUAGGUCUGCGGUGAAAUCUCCCGGCUCAACUGGGAGGCUGCCGUGGAAACUGCCGUGCUUGAGUGUGGGAGAGGUGAGUGGGAUUCCCGGUGUAGCGGUGAAAUGCGUAGAUAUCGGGAGGAACACCUGUGGCGAAAGCGGCUCACUGGACCACAACUGACGCUGAGGCGCGAAAGCUAGGGGAGCAAACAGG
rnacentral:rRNA from 1 species